rnacentral:tRNA from 3 species
UUCAUCUCGGUAGAACAAGGAAAAAGCCUAUGUGGUGGGUUCGACUCCCACAGGAGCGC